rnacentral:lncRNA from 1 species
GAAUUUUUACUCCCAAAGGCGCCCCCCAUGGCAGGAGAAAAAAGUCAAUUUUUUCUUGUCCCCUAAGGUGGAAAUUCACAUUGUUGACUGUCACGCCUAUACGCUUUGUCAAAAUGACACAAAAUUUGACACACACGUGUAUCUCAAUAAGAUCUACGAAAAAGUCAAUGGGCACGUAUCUGUAAAAUGUACGGUUAAAGGGCUAUUUCGCAUUUUUUGCCGAUUCGCACACAUUGGAAUGUGGCUAACUCCUCCUAAGGCUUUCGUCCCACUGACACCAAAUUUGCUCAGGCCAAUCUACACCCCAUGGUCAUUCAAAUUUGUAAAAAUCAUGCCGCUGCACCCCAUGGUUUACGUUCUAGGGGGCGCCAAAGAUGACCCAAAUAUCCACAUUCUUAAAAGAAUCCACCCCCCCCCCCCCCCAAGGCAGGAGAAAAAGUCCAGUUAACCCUGCCCAUCGCUCAAUGGCUCAAUCGCAUCGCUCUCCUGGCAACACCGUAAGGAGGAGCAACUUGCCAUUUGGAUAUAUCCUAGCUGUGUUUGUGCCCUCACUCAUGGUCCAGACUUUUUUCAAAUAGGACAUGUAGUUUGUCUGCAGCGACCGUUUUGGUAGAAACUGCACCUCCCAUUCAUUAUAAUGGGAAAUGACCACAGACAAGUGCGCACACCAUCUUUGGACCUUGAGUGUGAUGCGAUCGUGAGGGGGAGGCGGUCGCGCUGGGGGCGGCGCGACGCGGCUCGGGCCCGACAGUGCCCCACCGGGGCCCUAGUUAUUAGGGCCCGAGCGUAGCUGCUAAGCAGCUGCGAGAGCCCUCUUGUUCCUGCAUGUUUCCUUCUUUAGGGCCCGAGCGUAGCUGCUAAGCAGCUGCGAGAGCCCUCUUGUUCCUGCAUGUUUCCUUCUUUUGUUAUUAUUAGGGCCCGAGCGUAGCUGCUAAGCAGCUGCGAGAGCCCUCUUGUUCCUGCAUGUUUCCUUCUUUUGUUAUUAGGGCCCGAGCCAGCUGCAGAGCAGCCGGGCGUAGGCCCUGUUAUUCCUGUAGGGGUUUUUCUUUGUUUCUUUCUUUCUUCUUUUUCCUCCCCUUUGAACUGGAAAAUGGCCCACUUCCCACUGGCGAAAACUCAGGAAAUUUGGCAGGACGACCGGGCCUGGUGAAAAAUUUGAUAUUCCGAAGUCGCCCAAACAAGAAAAUGCAAAAUGGCUCCAUAGCGCCCCCUAAGGUGAAAAUUCACACUAUUGACUGUCACGCCUGUACGCUUUGUCAAAAUGACACAAAAAUUGACACACACAUGUAUCUCAAUAAGAUCUACAAAAAAGUCAGUGCGGGCGUAUCUGUCAAAUGUACGGUUAAAGGGUUAUUUCGCAUUUUUUGCCGAUCCGCACACAUUGGAAUUUCGCUAACUCCUCCGAAGGCUUUCGUUCCACCGGCACCACAUUUGCUCAGGCCAAUCUACACCCCAUGGCCAUUAAAAGUUAUUCAAAUCAUGACGCUGCACCCCACGGUUUAGGUUCUAGGGGGCGCCAAAGAUAACCCUAAAAUCCACAUUUUUAAAAGUCUUAUAACUUUUUAUUUUUCCCCUCACUGGCCUCCAAGUUUUCUAGGAUGAUGCAAUGUCCAGCCAUCAACACAUUUGUGAAGGAAUUUUUACUCCCCAAAAGAGCGCCCCCCCAUGGCAGGAGAAAAAAGUCCAUUUUUUUCUUGUCCCCUAAGGUGAAAAUACACAUUGUUGAGUGUCACGCCUGUACGCUUUGUCAAAAUGACACAAAAAUUGACACACACAUGUAUCUCAAUAAGAUCUACAAAAAAGUCCAUGCGCGCGUAUCUGUCUAAUGUACGGUUAAAGGGUUAUUCCGAAUUUUUUGCCGAUUCGCACACAUUGGAAUUUCGCUAACUCCUCCGAAG